AACGCUAGCUACAGGCUUAACACAUGCAAGUCGAGGGGCAGCAUGAACUUAGCUUGCUAAGUUUGAUGGCGACCGGCGCACGGGUGAGUAACACGUAUCCAACCUUCCGUUUACUCAGGGAUAGCCUUUCGAAAGAAAGAUUAAUACCUGAUAGUAUGGUGAGAUUGCAUGAUAACACCAUUAAAGAUUUAUUGGUAAACGAUGGGGAUGCGUUCCAUUAGGUAGUAGGCGGGGUAACGGCCCACCUAGCCUGCGAUGGAUAGGGGUUCUGAGAGGAAGGUCCCCCACAUUGGAACUGAGACACGGUCCAAACUCCUACGGGAGGCAGCAGUGAGGAAUAUUGGUCAAUGGGCGAGAGCCUGAACCAGCCAAGUAGCGUGAAGGAUGAAGGUCCUACGGAUUGUAAACUUCUUUUAUACGGGAAUAAAGUUUCCUACGUGUAGGAUUUUGUAUGUACCGUAUGAAUAAGCAUCGGCUAACUCCGUGCCAGCAGCCGCGGUAAUACGGAGGAUGCGAGCGUUAUCCGGAUUUAUUGGGUUUAAAGGGAGCGCAGACGGGAGAUUAAGUCAGUUGUGAAAGUUUGCGGCUCAACCGUAAAAUUGCAGUUGAUACUGGUUUCCUUGAGUGCAGUUGAGGCAGGCGGAAUUCGUGGUGUAGCGGUGAAAUGCUUAGAUAUCACGAAGAACUCCGAUUG
rnacentral:rRNA from 1 species